rnacentral:sRNA from 1 species
GCCGGGCGUGGUGGCGGGCGCCUGUAGUCCCAGCUACUUGGGAGGCUGAGGCAGGGGAAUCGCUUGAACCCGGGAGGCAGAAGUUGCAGUGAGCCAAGAUCAUGCCACUGCACUCCAGCCUGGGCGACAGAGCGAGACUCUGUCUCAA